AUUUUAUUAGUAUAAUAAAGUAUGCUUGUUUUCCAAACAAGUGGUUUAAAUAUUUUAAAUAAAAUA
rnacentral:tRNA from 1 species